GGUACACACACUCACCCCUGUUCUGACUGCCCAGGUACACACACUCACCCCUGUUCUCACUGCCCAGGUACACACACUCACCCCUGUUCUGACUGCCCAGGUACACACACUCACCCCUGUUCUGACUGCCCAGGUACACACACUCACCCCUGUUCUGACUGCCCAGGUACACACACUCACCCCUGUUCUCAC